AGAGUUUGAUCAUGGCUCAGAACGAACGCUGGCGGCAUGCCUAACACAUGCAAGUCGAACGAGAAAGCUCCUUCGGGAGUGAGUAGAGUGGCGAACGGGUGAGUAAUACAUGGGAACGUACCGUAAGAUCAUGGAUAACCGUUGGAAACGACGGCUAAUACAAGAUAGUCUCGCAAGAGUAAAGAUAGCUAGUUCUGCUAGCCUUCGUCUUUCGAGCGGCCCAUGUCCCAUUAGCUUGUUGGCGGGGUAAUGGCCCACCAAGGCUACGAUGGGUAGCUGGUCUGAGAGGAUGAUCAGCCACACUGGAACUGAGACACGGUCCAGACUCCUACGGGAGGCAGCAGUGGGGAAUAUUGCACAAUGGGCGCAAGCCUGAUGCAGCAAUGCCGCGUGAGUGAAGAAGGCUCUUGGGUCGUAAAGCUCUUUCGACAGGGAAGAAGGGUUUCGUGUUAAUAGCACUGAGAUUUGACGGUACCUGCAGAAGAAGCACCGGCUAAUUCCGUGCCAGCAGCCGCGGUAAUACA
rnacentral:rRNA from 1 species